rnacentral:lncRNA from 1 species
UUUAACUCUCAAAUUCCAUUCAAUCUGGAAGUGUGAGAUAUGUUUUGUGUGCUGUCAGAUGGGCUCUAAAACAUGUCCCUGGGGCCGGGCGCGGUGGCUCACGCCAGUAAUCCCAGCACUUUGGGAUGCCGAGGCAGGCGGAUCACUUGAAGUCAGGAGUUUGAGACCAGCCUGGGCAACAUGGUGAGACCCUGUCUCCACCAAAAAAAGAAAAAAAAAUUAGCCAGGUGCGGUGAGGCAUGCCUGUGGUCCCAGCUACUUGGGUGGCUGAGGUGGGAGUAUUGCUUGAACGUGGGAGGUGGAGGUUGCAGUGAGGUAAGAUGUUGCCACUGCACCCCAGUCUGUGUGACAGAGGGAGACCAUGCCUCAAUUAAAAACAAAUGAAAUGAAAUGAAAAUGAAAUGAAAUGAAAUAAAAUAAAAUGUAUUCCUGGGCUCAGCAGCAGAUCUGAGCCUGGAGCCAGAAUCCAAGGAGCUGCCAUGGUUGUGGGGCCCCGUGACAUCAUUCCACAUUAGUCCUGCGUUCAGUUUGGGAUGGUAAGCCAUUUAACUGUUGAAGGUGCCAAUGUACCUUUGUUCGCAGAGCUACCUUUUGUUCACUCCCUGAAGAGCAACAACUUUGCUGAUUUCAGUUUAGUUGAUUUUCCCACUAUUUACGUGUGUACAUGUAAGUGUUUUCUAAGAUGCUUACAUUAGUGUCAUGUUUUGCAGAUGAUGCAUAGCAGUAGGAUUUAAGUGAGAAUCUUUAGUGCAAAAUCUAUUGCUCCUGGUAAUAAAAGAAGUGCACUGUAGCGUAGUGAGUUCUGAUAAUUGAUCCCACCACAGGCAAACUGUAUCUCUUGAAUUUCACCUGUCUUCACACAUAUAGUAUGAGCAAUUAUUUUGAUUAGAAUAAUGGCUUGUAUUUUUAAAGUAUAUAAUUUGCACUUAAAGUCACCAUUGAAUCUCUGUGCUAACAUCACUUUUACAGAGUUUUGCCCAUCCUAAUGAUAUUCCCCGCACCACCCCCCAAAAAAAGACUCAAGAGAAAAAACAAGGGUCUGCUCAUGGACAGAAAAUGUUAUCCUGGUCAGGUGCAGUGGCUAAUGUCUGUAAUUCCAGCACUUUGGGAGGCCGAGGCAGGUGGGUCACUUGAGGUCAGGAGUUUGAGAACCAGCCUGGCCGAUAUGGUGAAACCCCGUCUCUACUAAAAAAAAAAAAAAAAAAAAAAAAAAAAAUUAGCCAGACGUGGUGGCGGCUGCCUGUAAUCCAGCUACUUAGGAAGCUGAAGCAUGAGAAUCACUUGAACCUGGGAAGCAGAGGUCCCAGUGAACCAAGAUCGUGCCACCACACUCCAGCCUGGGCGGCAGAGUGACACUGUGUCUCAAAAAAGAAAAGAAAAGGAAAGAAAAUGUUAUCCCCAUUUCCAGCAUCCUCCAGGACAUUUGGUCAGGCAUCUGAUUAGGGGGUUGGUUCAUUUUCUAAAUUCUUUUCUGAGUCCUUAUGUUAAGAAAGGUAAAGUCAGUGCCUAAGUGUCCCAAGAUUCCAGAAUAAUUGUUUUCUGUAAUUAAGUAAACACAGCACAUAGGCUUAUGCCUAGACCAACUGGCAGAGGCAAGACCAGCAAAGGAGAUGCUUUUGUGAAGAAGAAUUUAGCUGAAGUGAGCAGAGCAAACUCCUUCUUGCCAUGCUGCAGGGACAGCUGGAAGGCAGCACCAGGGUGAAAGCGUUCUGUCAUUAAAUCAGUUUGGGAAGUACUCCAGGAGAGGGAUGCGAGCUGUCCCUCCCAUCCUAGCUCAGCCUGCAUCCCCUUUCUCCUGGACUAACGCUACAGAGUCCCACCUGGUGCCCUGUACCUGGUGUCCUGCCAUUCUCUCGUCCCCUGUAGCCCACUCUUCAUACAAAGCCAGAGAGGACUUCCUAAAAGAUGAUUUGAUGGCCAGGCACAGUGGCUCACACCUGUGUCCCAGCAACUUGGGAAGUUGAGGUGGGAGGAUUGCUCAAGCUCAGGAGUUUGAUUUUUUUUUUUUUUUUUUUUUUGAGACAAGAGCAUCGCUCUGUCGCCCAGGCUGGAGUGCAGUGGCAUGAUCUUGGCUCACUGCAAGCUCCGCCUCCCAGGUUCACGCUAUUCUCUUGCCUCAGCCUCCCGAGUAGCUGGGACGACAGUCGCCCACCACCACGCCCGGCUAAUUUUUUAUAUUGUUAGUAGAGAUGGGGUUUCAUCGUGUUAGCCAGGAUGGUCUCGAUCUCCCGACCUUGUGAUCCUUCUGCCUCGGCCUUCCAGAGUGCUGGGAUUACAGGCAUGAGCCACCACGCCCAGCCGAGCUCAGGAGUUUGAGACCAGCUUGGGCAACACAGCGAGACCCUGUCUCUUAAAAUUUUUUAAAAAAUUAUCCGGGUGUGGUGGCGUGUGUCUGUAGGCCGGAGGCUGAGAAGGGAGGAUCUGUUGAGCCCAAGAGUUGGAGGCUGCAGUGAGCUAUGAUUGCACCACUGCACUCCAGCCUGUGUGGCAAAGUGAGACCCUGUCUCUAAAAAUAUAUAAUAAUAAAACAAAAAAUAAUUUUAAAAAGAUGACUUGAUCACAUCACUCCCAAUUUAAACCUGGUUAACGGUUUCCCACUGCACCCAGAGUAGGCUUGAGCUGUAGCCACAGCCCAAGGCCUUCCUCUCCUCGGCAGCUCUUAGAUCCCCGCUCCUCCUCCUUCCCCAAGGCUGCAGCCACCCUGGCCUCUGCCAGUCCUUGGAACUCCUCAAGCCCUUUCUUGCCUCAGGGCCUUUGCAUGGGCUGUGACUCUACCUGGAAACUUCUUCCCUCUCAUCUUCACAGUUGGCUUCUCCUUGUCAUUCAGAUCACAGCUCCAAACCACCUUGUGUGAGGCACUUUUCCCAUUUACCAACUCUGCCCCACCUCCACCCCCAUGUCACUUUAUAUGCCACUAUUAAUAACAUUUAUUAUUUUCUUUUUAGCAUUCAGAAGGAUCUCUGAAAUGGUCUUGUUUAUUUGUUAUUGUAUUGUCUCUCCUGCCUGAAUGUAAGCUUCAUGAGGACGGGUCGGUGUCUUAAUCUGUCUCAUUCACACUGAACCCCAGAACCAUGCCCUGCUGGUGCAGUGGCUCAUGCCUGUAAUCCCAGCAUUUUGGGAGGCUGAGACAGUAGAGUUGCUUGAGGCCAGGAGCUUGAGACUAGCCUGGGCAACAUGGUGAAAGCUCAUCUCUACAAAAGAUGAAAAAAAUUAGCCAGAUGUGGUGAUGUGCACCUGUAGUCCCAGCUAUUCAGGAGGUUGAGUUGAGAGGAUUGCUUGAGACCAGGAGUUUGAGGCUGCAGUGAGCUAUGAUUACACCACUGCAUUCCAGCCUGGGUGACAGAGGGAGGCCCUGUCUCUAAAUAAAUAAAGAUAAAAAAAUUAAUAGAACUGUGCCGCCCCUUGAAAGACUCUCUGCAAAUGUUGGUUGAAUAACAGAAUGAACAGCAGAUACAUGCUACGCCUUUACCCCGUGCGGCCCCUGGCCCAGGUGGAAACCAUGCCAUUUGAGCAGGUUCGGUAUUUGGAUAACUGAUUAGACCUGGAGGGCUCAGAGGCAGCCGGUGUUAGGAAAGCCCUACCUCACAUCCUCAUAUCUGGGUAUCUCAGGCUGGGUGUGUUUGUCAGGUGCACCUCCAGUCACCCGCUCCUGACUUAUAGAUGCCCUGCAAGAAACCACUUGCUCACCAAUCUGCCGUUUGGCAGCAGGCAGGGUCCUUUUCGGGUGGUGGGGUCUUACAGGGCCCUUUGUCACUCCACCACUCUUCCUGUCUCUGGAAUUUUGUUCCCCCUCUCUUUUCUGGCCUGACCUCUGCAGGAAUGAACUCUCAUUUCACCAAAAUGACCCAAGAGGUUAGGACCAGAUCAUCCCUGAGAGGGGGCACUCACUGAGCAGAGCAGGCACAGGACCCUGGCAGGGCUGGGCUUAGCUGCUUCUCCUCAUUGAGGAGCCUCUAGUUUUCCUGGGCUGCUGUAUUGCAGAGCCUGGAAAUGUCUUCUAGUUCCAGGCAUUCCCUUCAGCCAAUGUAGUCCAUCAGCAGGGCUGAUGGAGAUCCAACUGUGGUCCCAGAGCCCCAGGAUUCCCCACAAUGAGGGGGCUGCAGUGAUGGCAACCUCUUGGCCAAUGCUGGAACCUUGACCUUGUCAGAUAACGAGGCCUCAGAGAGGUUAGCCUGUCUCCCAUGCUCCCCCUUGUACACCUGCACACCUGUAUACCUGCACACUCGCACACCUGCACACUUGCACAAUUGCAUACCUGCAUGCUCACACACCUGCACAUUCACACAACUGCACACCUGCACACCUCAACUGCACACUUGCAAAAUUGCACAUCGGCACACCUGCACAUUUACACACCUGCUUAACUGCACACUUGCACACUUGCACACCUGCACUCUUGCACACCUGCAUACCUCCACAACUACACGCCUGCACAUUUGCACAACUGCACACCUGCAUACCCACACACCUGCACACCUGCCCACAACCUUGUGCCCAGCCUCCAAAUUCCGUCCUCUAGCCUCCCGGGUGCCUUCCUAUUCUGGGCUUCUGUAAUCAUCAUUCAGUAAUCCUGGGUGGCUGGUCUGGUUCCUUCUCUUUGUAUCUUGCCUCUUGCACCAACUCCGAGGUUUCUAGUGGUUCUUCCCUCCUUCACCUCUGUGUCAGCCAUCUCUUUAGCCUUCUUACCUGGGUCCCACACACGGCAGCAAAGAAAGUGUGGUGUGCAUGGCUAAAGUCAGGCUAUCCCUGAGUCUAUAGAGGAGGAUACAUCAGCAUAACAAAUAGGUUCCUUUCUAUUCACACUACUUAGGAAUCAUGGUUUUCUAAAUGCUUUCACAAGGCUGUAAAAUGGAAACUUGAUAUCACCAGUAAACCCAUGAAGAAGCCUCUGUUCAUCUCUAUGGUGAGAGAGCCAUUUCUUUAGCUUGUGGGGAAUAUUGUCAGCUAAAAGUAUUGAUCAGCCGAAGGCCCUGGCAGGAGGAUGCAGAGGACAUGAAAUGUAAAUGUCUUCAUUUGCAAAAGGAGUUUCAGGACAGGCACCAGAGCUCAGGGAGGGGGUAAUGACUUCAAAAACACCUGGGGUCACCUGCGGUAUUUGUUGGUUUUCUCUCUGGACCUGAGCCUGUCUGAGAGAUGAGCUCUGACAUACACACCUGUAAAUGGUGUCUGUGCCGGAUCCUGGGGGUGAUUCUGGUUAGAGAUGAGAGCUGGGUCCAGAGUCUUGGGUGAGAAUAAACCACCAGCAGGGGCUUCAGUUAUGUGACUUUUGCAGGUCAAGCACAUAAGACUCUCAGAAAACCCCUUCCUGAAGUUGACUUCACAGUAAUAAAUAACAUGUGUGAGAGGGUGUGCAACAAGUGAAGAAUUUGCAUUUGAAGAACUGAAAUAAUAGAACACAUGAAAUAAAUUCUAAAAUAAGUAUGGCUGGGUGCUGUGGUGCACACCUGCAGUCCCAGCUAUUUGGAGGCUAAGACAAAAGGAUUGCUGAAGUCCGGGAGUUCUGGGCUGUUGCGCGCUAUGUUUGGCAUCAAUAUAGGACCUCCCAGGAGCAGGGGGCCACCAGGUUGCCUAAGAAGGGGUGAACUGGCCCAGGUUGGAAAAGGAGCAGGUCAAAACUCCUGUGGUGAUCAGAAGUGUGAUUGCUCGGCCGGGCGCGGUGGCUCACUCCUGUAAUCCCAGCACUUUGGGAGGCAGAGGCGUGCAGAUCAUGAGGUCAGGAGAUCGAGACCAUCCUGGCUAACACAGUGAAACCCCGUCUCUACUAAAACUACAAAAAAUUAGCCGGGCUUGGUGGCAGGUGCCUGUAGUCCCAUCUACUCAGGUGGCUGAGGCAUGAGAAUCGCUUGAACCCUGGAGGCCGAGGCUGCUGUGAGCCGAGAUCGUGCUGCUGUACUCCAGCCUGGGCAACAGAGCGAGACUCCGUCUCAAAAAAAAGAAAGGAAAAAAAAAAAAAAGGAAGUGUGAUUCCUUCUGAGAAUAGACAUGGCAUUCCAGGCUGGGCAACAUAGAGAGACCUCAUCUCUAAAAUGAAUAUAAAAUAAAAUAAAAUAAAAAUGUUUACCUUAUUUAGAGAUAAUUGAGGAUGGUUCAGUUUACUUUGUGGGUUUGAAAUUAAUUAUAAAUUUUAAAAAGAGAAUCAAAGAAGUAAAAACAGUCAACAGUUUAAAUGAAAACACAAUAGUGAUUUUUACUAGAAAUUAGAACCUAUACCUACCAACA